rnacentral:tRNA from 1 species
UAGGUUAAAGCCCGUUGGAUUGGGUGUCUAGUUGUUAACUAGAUUUUUCCGGGAUCGAGGCCCGGUGGCCUAG